CAGGGAAUGUCUCCCCUCACCUCCUGUAUGAACAUCUCUCUCCUUCCUCCAGUAUAGGAGGGUCUGCAAAGCUAAAGGAAGAGUUCCUUUGUUACAAGAUAGAAAAGUGGUGCCACUUUAAAGAUGAUUUCUCAGUGUUCUCCUUAGAUACCAAAUACAAAGGACGAGGGAUCAAGCUCAGCGAAAGUAUCAGGCAUUUAAGGUAUCAGGCAGCAAUGCGGGGAAAGGUGAAUUUUCUUCAAUCAGCAUAGGAUGGUUAGGGAAGAGCAUUUAUCACUUUGGUUCUUAUCCUUCAAGCCAGGGGAAAAGCAACAGUGAGGACAUCAGAGACAAAAGCAUUUAUAGAACUAACAAACACAAACGUUUGACAAGUGAGAAAGCUUUAUUAAAGCACACAUACAUGUCAGGGGGGUGGGAAACAAAAGAGCAAGUUACAGCCCGGGAUCCCAAGUUAUGCCUUCCAUUACAAUUGCAAUCCACACCAAAUCAAUCUUUGAAAACAUUCCUCCAUUCGGUUCAUACAUACAGUAGAAACCACUGUGGCUGCCCUUAAUCCAGUGUGCUUAUAGGAAAUCAGUUAGCAGCUGACUCUGUUGAAAGGGAUUUCCUCUCUGCUAUACACUCCUUCCACACACAACUUUGGGUAGAAACGCUUAUGAGAAUAGAAAGGUCAGUUUGAUCAAUGAGUACCAGAAGAUGAAACUUAGCUCACUAGACCCUUCUUUGAAAAGCCUCAACACACUACACCCAUGUAAUAUGUAGGUCAAAUUUAGGAAACAAUAGCAAAAACAGGAACUGAAAGCUCAUCAAGCAGGAAGUCAGAAUAACAGGGAGACUCUGUCUACAUUCCCUUAGAGCCCUUAACAGUCCCCAGCCUGGAGAAACACUGGGCCAAUUGAGAUAACACUUGGCUCUUCUGGUUGACACAGUGGGAUGUAGACCAUGCUCUGUUUGAUAACACACCCCAGACGCAAACACUAAGACAGAUGUGGUACAUGAGGAUGAAUAUAUCUCAUCUUUCAUUCGAGAAAUGAGGAGCUCUCUCUCCAAUGACUGCAGUAUCAGUUUAAAAUGCAGAAAAUUCAGCAUGGGCUGUGAGACACUUUACCCUCAGUCACUCUGGUCCUCUGAGAUCAGCUAGAAGCUCUCACUGGGCAUCCUCGUGAUUUAGUCAAAAUACAUUAUCUAAUUAAAGUGCUUUUCAAAAGCAGCUCCAUUAUAAGAGUCCCCCAAAGGUCUAGUAAAGAUAUCUAGAACUGGAAAAAGCUUGGGAAUUCUGUUAGCAUUUCAAAGAAAAGCAUUAGACCAAAGCAAGGUGGAAACUGCUUAAAAACUAGAAAAGUUAAAUUUAAAAGCCAAGUUCCAGAAGUUUAUCCAGGUAGAAAAUAAGUUAAAAGCAUAAAUUGGAGAGGAGAAAGAGGAAGGAACUACUCACCUCUCCCCAACAUUCCUGUCUUUACUAACCAACCCUGCUUCCCAGAGCCUUAAAACCCAGACUGGUCCUAAUGCGAAAGGUAGCCAGGGCUUCCUAGGGAAGUAGGAACAAUGAUAGCAAGACAGAAGAUAAAAAGUUGUUUUAAAAGCUGUUUUUAAGUUAAGUGAACCUUAUAAAGACAUAAGAAAAAAUGGACUCUGAAAAUAAACUAGAUUAUACACAG
rnacentral:lncRNA from 1 species